ACKGCUCAGUAACACGUGGAUAACCUACCCUUAGGAUUGGGAUAACCCCGGGAAACUGGGGAUAAUACCAGAUACAUGGAGAUACCUGGAAUGGUUCUCCACUUAAAGCUCCGGCGCCUAAGGAUGGAUCUGCGGCAGAUUAGGUUGUUGGCGGGGUAAUGGCUCACCAAGCCUUUUACCGGUGCGGGCCGUGAGAGCGGGAGCCCGGAGAUGGGCACUGAGACAAGGGCCCAGGCCCUACGGGGCGCAGCAGUCGCGAAAACUUUGCAAUACACGAAAGUGUGACAGGGCUAUCCCGAGUGCCAUCCGCUGAGGAAGGCUUUUACCCAGUCUAGAAAGCUGGGGGAAUAAGGAGAGGGCAAGUCUGGUGUCAGCCGCCGCGGUAAUACCAGCUCUCCGAGUGGUGUGGAUGUUUAUUGGGCCUAAAGCAUCCGUAGCUGGCUAAGUUAGUCCCUUGUUAAAUCCACCGAAUUAAUCGUUGGAUCGCGGGGGAUACUGCUUGGCUAGGGGACGAGAGAGGCAGACGGUAUUUUCGGGGUAGGGGUGAAAUCCUAUAAUCCCGGGAAGACCACCAGUGGCGAAGGCUGUCUGCUAGAACGCGCCCGACGGUGGGGGAUGAAAGCUGGGGGAGCGAACCGGAUUAGAUACCCGGGUAGUCCCAGCUGUAAACGAUGCAGGCUAGGUGUUUGGACGGCCACGUGCCGUUCUAGUGCCGCAGGGAAGCUGUUAAGCCUGCCGCCUGGGGAGUACGAUCGCAAGAUUGAAACUUAAAGGAAUUGGCGGGGGAGCAC
rnacentral:rRNA from 1 species